rnacentral:rRNA from 1 species
AUUGAACGCUGGCGGCAGGCUUAACACAUGCAAGUCGAACGAGUGGCGGACGGGUGAGUAAUGUCUGGGAAACUGCCUGAUGGAGGGGGAUAACUCCUGGAAACGGUAGCUAAUACCGCAUACCAUCAGAUGUGCCCAGAUGGGAUUCUCUAGUUGGUGGGGUAAAGGCUCACCAAGGCGACGAUCCCUAGCUGGUCUGAGAGGAUGACCAGCCACACUGUGACUGAGACACGGUCCAGACUCCUACGGGAGGCAGCAGUGGGGAAUAUUGCUCAAUGGGCGCAAGCCUGAUGCAGCCAGGCCGCGUGUAUGAAGAAGGCCUUCGGGUUGUAAAGUACUUUCAGCGGGGAGGCGUUACCCGCAGAAGAAGCACCGGCUAACUCCGUGCCAGCAGCCGCGGUAAUUC